rnacentral:rRNA from 1 species
GCCGGACCCUACUGCUAUCGGGAUGAGACUAAAACAUGCUAGUUGUGCGCACCCAAGCUAUGUUGGGAGCGCAGCGAACGGCUCCGUAACACGUAGUCAAUCUAACCUUAGGACGGGAAUAACCCCGGGAAGCUGGGGCUAAUACCUGAUAGGCGAAAAAGUCUGGAAUGACUUUUCACUUAAAGAGUUCUAGGAACAUGCUCCUUUAACUGCCUAAGGAUGAGACUGCGACCGACCAGGUUGUUGGUGGGGUAACGGCCUACCAAGCCUAUAACCGGUACGGGCCCUGAGAGGGGGAGCCCGGAGAUGGGAACUGAGACAAGGUCCCAGACCCUACGGGGUGCAGCAGUUGCGAAAACUCUACAAUGCACGAAAGUGUGAUAGGGUUAUCCCGAGUGCCGUCCGAUGAGGAUGGCUUUUCCCUGGUGUAAGGAGCCGGGGGAAUAAAGGGGGGGCAAGACUGGUGUCAGCCGCCGCGGUAAUACCAGCCCCCUGAGUGGUAGGGAUGAUUAUUUGGCCUAAAGCGUCCGUAGCCGGCUUAGCAAGUCUUUCGUUAAAUCCGGUGACUCAAUCAUCGGGCUGCGAGAGAUACUACUAGGCUUGAGGACGGGAGAGGUCGACGGUAUUCCGGGGGUAGGGGUAAAAUCCUAUAAUCCUCGGAGGACCACCAGUGGCGAAGGCGGUCGACUAGAACGUGCCUGACGGUGAUGGACGAAAGCUGGGGGAGCAAACCGGAUUAGACACCCGGGUAGUCCCAGCCGUAAACGAUGCGGGCUAGGUGUUGGGGCAGCUACGAGCUGCUCCAGUGCCGCAGAGAAGUCAUUAAGCCUGCCGCCUGGGAAGUACGGUCGCAAGACUGAAACUUAAAGGAAUUGGCGGGGGAGCACCACAAGGGGUGAAGCCUGCGGUUCAAUUGGAUUCAACGCCGGG